GGGGGUAUAGCUCAGCGGCAUAAGCACCUGCCUUGCAAGCAGUCGGUCCUGAGUUUGAUCCCCUGUACCGAUA
rfam:Cavia porcellus supercont2_5 genomic scaffold, whole genome shotgun sequence.